GGGGGACAACGUUUCGAAAGGAACGCUAAUACCGCAUACGUCCUACGGGAGAAAGCAGGGGACCUUCGGGCCUUGCGCUAUCAGAUGAGCCUAGGUCGGAUUAGCUAGUUGGUGGGGUAAUGGCUCACCAAGGCGACGAUCCGUAACUGGUCUGAGAGGAUGAUCAGUCACACUGGAACUGAGACACGGUCCAGACUCCUACGGGAGGCAGCAGUGGGGAAUAUUGGACAAUGGGCGAAAGCCUGAUCCAGCCAUGCCGCGUGUGUGAAGAAGGUCUUCGGAUUGUAAAGCACUUUAAGUUGGGAGGAAGGGCAGUAAGUUAAUACCUUGCUGCUUUGACGUUACCGACAGAAUAAGCACCGGCUAACUCUGUGCCAGCAGCCGCGGUAAUACAGAGGGUGCAAGCGUUAAUCGGAAUUACUGGGCGUAAAGCGCGCGUAGGUGGUUUGUUAAGUUGGAUGUGAAAGCCCCGGGCUCAACCUGGGAACUGCAUCCAAAACUGGCAAGCUAGAGUACGGUAGAGGGUGGUGGAAUUUCCUGUGUAGCGGUGAAAUGCGUAGAUAUAGGAAGGAACACCAGUGGCGAAGGCGACCACCUGGACUGAUACUGACACUGAGGUGCGAAAGCGUGGGGAGCAAACAGGAUUAGAUACCCUGGUAGUCCACGCCGUAAACGAUGUCCACUACCCCGUUGGAGUCCUUGAGAUUUUAGUGGCGCAUCUAACGCAUUAAGUUGACCGCCUCGGCGAGUACGGCCGCAAGGUUAAAACUCAAAUGAAUUGACGGGGGCCCGCACAAGCGGUGGAGCAUGUUGUUUAAUUUUUAAACAACACCCAACAACCUUUACUUUGCCCUGGACAUGCAGAAAAACUUUCC
rnacentral:rRNA from 1 species